UCAGGAAAGACCCAGUGAAUCCAUUACAUUCAAAAGAACAUUGAUCUUUGUGCCAUCCUCCAGAGAGAAAUCUCCAACCCUAUCUGGUGUCAAACAACCCUUGAGCUGCUGUAAAGAACAUUACUGCCCAUUGAGCACUCACCUCCGAUGACCCAAAGCAACAACAAAGGACAUCUACAACUGCACUCUGCAUUUUGAAGACAGAGAGGCAUGAUAGAGAUGUGUUUUUCAAAUUGGGUUCACCUAACAUCCUGAAGUCAGUGUGACAAAAAGAGC
rnacentral:lncRNA from 1 species